rnacentral:tRNA from 1 species
GGGGCUGUAGCUCAGUGGCAGAGUGCUUGCCUAGCAUGUGUGAGGCACUAGGGUUUGACCCUCAGCACCA